UGGGGAAUAUUGCACAAUGGGCGCAAGCCUGAUGCAGCCAUGCCGCGUGUAUGAAGAAGGCCUUCGGGUUGUAAAGUACUUUCAGCGAGGAGGAAGGCGUUGUGGUUAAUAACCGCAACGAUUGACGUUACUCGCAGAAGAAGCACCGGCUAACUCCGUGCCAGCAGCCGCGGUAAUACGGAGGGUGCAAGCGUUAAUCGGAAUUACUGGGCGUAAAGCGCACGCAGGCGGUCUGUCAAGUCGGAUGUGAAAUCCCCGGGCUCAACCUGGGAACUGCAUCCGAAACUGGCAGGCUAGAGUCUUGUAGAGGGGGGUAGAAUUCCAGGUGUAGCGGUGAAAUGCGUAGAGAUCUGGAGGAAUACCGGUGGCGAAGGCGGCCCCCUGGACAAAGACUGACGCUCAGGUGCGAAAGUGUGGGGAGCAAACA
rnacentral:rRNA from 1 species